UCCUUCAUCUCUCAUUUCCACCAUUUUCCUCCAUUGAUGAAAACCUUCGGAGCUUCCAAAAAUAUUAUCAAACACCUCAAUCCACUCUAAAAUCUUCCAUAAACACAUUCUAGCCACUUAUAAUCAAGAGAAUCCUUGAAGAAGAACUCCAAAGUUAGAGUGAGAAAGUGUGAACUUUGGUAAGAAACUUGGGCCCGAGCGAGACGAAGAAGUAAGUUGCCUGAUUUCUUUCCAGGAUUAGCGAAGGACUUCAGACUAAGCGAGGAGCGAGAUUGGACUGGUGCUGGUGGGGAAUUGUUAGAGGAUGUAUUUACUUUAUCGCAUUUCCUUUUUGACGAUAAAGUCUUGAUGAUUGAUAUAUAUUUUGAUUUUCUUUUGAAUUUAAGCAAUGUACUCACGGUUAUAUGUCUUCAUACAUAUAAUCGAUCCGCCUUUUGCUGCGAUACUCUGCAUAUUAUGUUUCCUUACGAAAAAUGAGCGAUACCCGUUUUGUUUUUGAUCUUGAAAUUCCUGAUAUUUACGAAGU